rnacentral:rRNA from 1 species
UACAAUGGCCAUGCAUCAGUAGAUAACUUAUCUGAGCUUGGUAACUAAGCAGGUGAGGUCUGGUAAGGAUUUGGAUUGGAGACAUCCAGGGAAUAGCAGAGCUGUAUUGAAC